rnacentral:rRNA from 4 species
AGAGUUUGAUCCUGGCUCAGGAUGAACGCUGGCGGCGUGCCUAAUACAUGCAAGUCGAGCGAACGGACGAGAAGCUUGCUUCUCUGAUGUUAGCGGCGGACGGGUGAGUAACACGUGGAUAACCUACCUAUAAGACUGGGAUAACUUCGGGAAACCGGAGCUAAUACCGGAUAAUAUUUUGAACCGCAUGGUUCAAAAGUGAAAGACGGUCUUGCUGUCACUUAUAGAUGGAUCCGCGCUGCAUUAGCUAGUUGGUAAGGUAACGGCUUACCAAGGCAACGAUGCAUAGCCGACCUGAGAGGGUGAUCGGCCACACUGGAACUGAGACACGGUCCAGACUCCUACGGGAGGCAGCAGUAGGGAAUCUUCCGCAAUGGGCGAAAGCCUGACGGAGCAACGCCGCGUGAGUGAUGAAGGUCUUCGGAUCGUAAAACUCUGUUAUUAGGGAAGAACAUAUGUGUAAGUAACUGUGCACAUCUUGACGGUACCUAAUCAGAAAGCCACGGCUAACUACGUGCCAGCAGCCGCGGUAAUACGUAGGUGGCAAGCGUUAUCCGGAAUUAUUGGGCGUAAAGCGCGCGUAGGCGGUUUUUUAAGUCUGAUGUGAAAGCCCACGGCUCAACCGUGGAGGGUCAUUGGAAACUGGAAAACUUGAGUGCAGAAGAGGAAAGUGGAAUUCCAUGUGUAGCGGUGAAAUGCGCAGAGAUAUGGAGGAACACCAGUGGCGAAGGCGACUUUCUGGUCUGUAACUGACGCUGAUGUGCGAAAGCGUGGGGAUCAAACAGGAUUAGAUACCCUGGUAGUCCACGCCGUAAACGAUGAGUGCUAAGUGUUAGGGGGUUUCCGCCCCUUAGUGCUGCAGCUAACGCAUUAAGCACUCCGCCUGGGGAGUACGACCGCAAGGUUGAAACUCAAAGGAAUUGACGGGGACCCGCACAAGCGGUGGAGCAUGUGGUUUAAUUCGAAGCAACGCGAAGAACCUUACCAAAUCUUGACAUCCUUUGACAACUCUAGAGAUAGAGCCUUCCCCUUCGGGGGACAAAGUGACAGGUGGUGCAUGGUUGUCGUCAGCUCGUGUCGUGAGAUGUUGGGUUAAGUCCCGCAACGAGCGCAACCCUUAAGCUUAGUUGCCAUCAUUAAGUUGGGCACUCUAAGUUGACUGCCGGUGACAAACCGGAGGAAGGUGGGGAUGACGUCAAAUCAUCAUGCCCCUUAUGAUUUGGGCUACACACGUGCUACAAUGGACAAUACAAAGGGCAGCGAAACCGCGAGGUCAAGCAAAUCCCAUAAAGUUGUUCUCAGUUCGGAUUGUAGUCUGCAACUCGACUACAUGAAGCUGGAAUCGCUAGUAAUCGUAGAUCA